UACGUAGGGGGCAAGCGUUGUCCGGAUUUAUUGGGCGUAAAGCGCGUGUAGGCGGCAGACCAAGUCGGCGGUGAAAGCGCCCGGCUCAACUGGGCGAGGUCCGUGGAAACUGGUCAGCUGGAGGACGGUAGAGGCGAGUGGAAUUCCCGGUGUAGUGGUGAAAUGCGUAGAGAUCGGGAGGAACACCUGUGGCGAAGGCGACUUUCUGGCCUGUUCUUGACGCUGAGGCGCGAAAGCUAGGGGAGCAAACGGG
rnacentral:rRNA from 1 species